UACAAAAAUUCAUGCAUAAAGUUGAGAUAAAAUAGAAUAGUUAAUCUCUGAAAUUAAUUGGGCUCCCUCAUAUUUAACUUCCCAACGUUAUCUAGGGAGAAGGACUCAAAAAAAAAAUGGAUUUUCUCUCUCUCUCCUCCUCACCUCUCAAUCUCUCUUUCUUCCGUCUCUAAACUAAAUUGUGCCCAGACUUGAGUGUUUAAUCUCUUUUAAUUAUUCUUCUCUACAACUUACUCCUCUGAUCACAUCACAAAGUACUCCAGUGAAGUCGCUCAUGAGUUUUGUUUCUGAUUAGGCUGGUAUGUAUUAUAUUUCGGUCUCCACCAUUGAAGCGGCUUCUAGCGUCCUUGGUCGGAUUAUUGCUCAUGGAUUUCCAGAUUUUUUAGGCCAACUCAAGGAUUCCAAGCCUAUGAUCGAUGUAAAAUCGAGCAACUCUACAAUUGAAAGAUGUCAGUGGCUGAAGAACAGCUAAUGGGUCUUUUCAUCAACUAUGGGCAAGGAUCUGAUUUCAUUGACGAUCUGCAAUCAAAGCUGCCCAUGCUGCAGGGUGUGAUUUGAGAAUUGUAAGUGACACAAAUAUGUUCUUCGUCGAGACCAUACUAGAUCAUCUUGGGUUGAAGGAUUAUUUCUUGGAGAUUAACACGAAUUUGGGUUAUGUUGAUGUUGAUUGAUUGGAUAAUUUGAGAUUGAUAAGGUUACUAAGGCUGGACAAAGGGUGUUUGAUGUGCAGGUGAAUGGGGAGAAUGUGAACCGAAUCGAUGUUUAUAACACGGUUGGAGGGUUUAAGGCUCAUGAUUGGCAAUUUGGCGUACUUAAGAAAAUAAAUGUUAAUUUAAGCCAUCAUUGAAUGAUUGCAUUUGACGGACUUGGACUUGGUUCUUUCACAAGGAUAUGACAAUUAGCUGUAAAAUUUGUGUGUUAUGCUGUUGUAAGCCUUCACUGAGUGAGUCAGCUCAUGAGAACUUAGCUCUUUGACAUAGGCAUAGUUUGUUAUAAUCUUGGGUAGUGUGUACAUAUAGUUAUGAUUGGCUGCAAAAAUAUAAAUAAUUUUUAAUUGACAUUUUAAUUGAUUCCUUUGUAAUACAUUCGCUACUAGAAUGCUUUUACUAAUUCCUGUACUUUUUACUUUGUUAUUAAA